ACGGAAGGCAGCAGUGAGGAAUAUUGGUCAAUGGACGGAAGUCUGAACCAGCCAAGUCGCGUGAAGGAUGAAGGUAUUAUGUAUUGUAAACUUCUUUAGCAGUGGAGUAAUAAGGGGAUCGCGAUCCCUGAUACAAGUACACUGAGAAUAAGGAUCGGCUAACUCCGUGCCAGCAGCCGCGGUAAUACGGAGGAUCCGAGCGUUAUCCGGAUUUAUUGGGUUUAAAGGGUGCGCAGGCGGCUUUUUAAGUCAGUGGUUAAAUCGUGACGCUCAACGUCAUCACGCCAUUGAUACUGGAGAGCUUGAUUGCGGUCGAGGUUUGCGGAAUUCGUUGUGUAGCGGUGAAAUGCAUAGAUAUGACGAAGAACACCGAUUGCGUAGGCAGCAGACCAGGCCGUAAAUGACGCUCAUGCACGAAAGUGCGGGGAUCGAACAGGAUUAGAUACCCUGGUA
rnacentral:rRNA from 1 species